CAAUUUAAAGCUUAUUUAGUAAAGUAUUUCAUUUACAUUGAAAAGAUUGU
rnacentral:tRNA from 1 species